rnacentral:tRNA from 1 species
GUUUUUAUAGUUGAAAUACAACAAUGGUUUUUCAUGCCAUAAGUCAUGGUUUGAGUCCAUGUAAAAAUA